CUUGAAGCUGGUUGGCUAUAGCCAGUGUACUGUACACAUGUAAAUAAAGGGUGACUUGGUGAUGGGAUACUGGCCCCUGUGCAGUUAUUCCAGGCAGAUUAAUAUUUGUUAAUUUAUUAAAAUCCUUAACGGAAGUAACAAGUAUCGAGGUUAAAAGCAUCUGAAGCUGGAGAAGAGAGGUUGUAAGGCAGAGGUACAGAACUGGCUACUGAAGACCUCAUAAGUAAAUAGCUUGGGAGGCCUUGGACUUUUUAAACAGCCUGAAUGGAUCCUAAAUUCAAAAAGACAUGAUCACAUUGAAAGUUGGCAAGGAUGAAGGAAAAUGUUCACAUUUCUUUUUGCUCAUCUAAAUCAAAAUUGAUCAGGAAAAAUGUCAAGGGCCAUCAAAUUCUGGAAGUUGGCUAUAAUGCAGAAACAUUCAUAUGGAAAAUAUGUGAUCAAACCAGGAAGAGAUGACACGGUGAUCCAAGUUCCAUGAAUCAGAUGGAAUACUUCGGUUUGAAUGAGAAAUUGUGGAUUGCAAGCAACCAAAAGAGCAUUAGGCAUAUAAUUUCCUGGACUAAGUCUGAAAAGGGUUUUUAAGACUCCGUGACAACCGACCAUUGCUCUUCAGCAAAGAAAAACUGGAC